rnacentral:lncRNA from 1 species
UUCUUCUUCGAUCUUUCUCCAAAUCACACCCAAAAGGAAGCUAACAAUCAGAAAACCUUCCCAUUGAAAGAAACCAAGGAGCAGCCACGCAUCACAAAAGCAGCAAAAGCCGAGGUCUAAGACAGAAAAAGGAAAAGCCACAACAACUAGAAAAUCUGAGUUUCCAGAUCUGAAAAGCAACGAAAAAUCAUAGAAAAAUCUGAGAAAAAGAGAGAACAAAAAAUAAUAAAAGUGAGUUUUCAGUUUGCUGUCAUUUUUACGACAAUUUUAUACCAAUUCUGUUUCUUCAAAUGGACAUUUAAUCAAGAACAAAGCUGUUUCUGCACUGUUCUUACUGUUGACCUUGCUGAAGUUAUCUUAGUGGAGAUUUUCUUAGCCUUUAUUUGGAAAGCAUCUCAUUUUCAGCUACAAGUCUAGAUACAUACUUCUUCACUUGUAUCUUUAGUUCUGAUCUAUGUUGAAGUAUGAGUUUUCUUUCCUUUUUUUUUUCUUUGAAAUUAAUUAUUGCAGUGUAUAAGUUUACUGUUUGUUUGGCUUUGAACACAAAUUGAAUGUUUAAUUGCUUGCUUCAAAAAGGCAUAAGUGUCUGCUUUUGCCUAUGAAAUAUCAAAUUUAAGUAGAUGUAGAAUUGUUUGACUGAUUAUAAAAAUUCAUGAAAUCCUUAUUAUCGUCUAUUGUUUAAAAUGCCGAGACAAAAUGUGUAUUCUCAAUUCUCCGUCUGUCGAAAUGUGUGUGGCUUGAUGAGUGUGUGACAGUGUGUGUGUAGUGUGCUUAAUUUUGUAAAUAUUGUUAGUAGAAUAUCCUUUUAGCUUCUUUUUCGAAUUUUCUUGAUAGAAUAAAAGGGUUAGAGCUAAUGUGAAGUAAUACAACUGCAAAAUUAUAUUGUUGUAGGGGAAAAAAUAUGGAACUAUGUGGUUUUUAAGUAAGACAUGAAAGAGUGAUUUAAUGUGUUAUGCAUUUGGUGGAGUCACUCUUGAACCAAACAUAAUGGAAACUAAAUGCACUUGUGCAGAAAACCUUACUUUUGUUCCUUCCCUUCUCUUUGGGAUGUUACUCCAACCUUUUAAUAAAUCUGUUUGCUAAUUGAAUACUACUUAUGAUAUCAAUAUGUUGAUAAACAUGGAUGGUUCAUACUUUUGCUGCAUUAUGUUGUCAUAAUUUAAGAUUCCAUUCUCAGAUAUAGGAAGUUGCAUUUCUAUGCGUGUUCAUCUGUGAUAUCUAAACACGUUACACUGCAGUAUGAUGAUUCAGUUCAUGUAAAGUUGGUUAAGCUGAUCUAAAUAGAUAAUUUCUUGUUGUUCUUUUUUCACUUUAAGAAAAAAUGGGGAUUGUGAAUAAAAAUCAUGCUAAUAGGCAAGUUUUUACUUAAUUAUACAAUCUUGAUUUGUUACUUGGUAACUCUUGCAUUAAACUUAUUACGUUUGUUGAUGAUAUGCAAAAUUUUAAACUUAGAAAAAUAGACACUUAUAGAAAUGCUUUUAGGCACGGCUUAAAUUAUUGUAAUUGUGUACAAGUUCGCGUGACAUAAUUAUGAUUUCAAAAAUAAAUUGAGGUAUGUGUUCGCGCAACUUCAACCAAGCUUUCUUAAUAAUAAUAAAAUAUGAUUAAUUGUGGACACAUAUGCGUGACAUAAUUUUUGACGCACUAAGCGAAAUGAGUAUAUGUACGCGUAACUCAUCUUAAGUUAAUUCUUCAAAUCCGGAUUAUCAAGUUAUUAAUAGCGGUAAAAGGUAAAAUAAACAUAGGUCCUAAAAUUAGUAAUUAGACAAAAUAAUCCAAGUAUAAAUUUCUAAGCGACCGUGCUAAAACUACGGAACCCAAAAAUGCCUAACACUUUCUCUCGGGUUAACAGAAUUCCUUAUCUAGAAUUUCUGGUUCGCAGACUUUUAAAUAAAGUCGAAAAUUUUCUCGAUUUGGGAUUUUAAAAUAAACCGGUGACUUGGGACACCCUAAACUAUUCCAAGUGGCGGCUCUGAAAAUUGAAUAAAAUAAUCUUAUUUCGAAUAAUGUCACUUAAAUUGAAAAAACUAUAUUAUACCCCCUCUCGGGUGGUAAAAAGGAGGUGUGACAGCUCUGGUGACUCCGUUGGGGAUAGAGAACCCAAAACUUCUGGUUCAGUGUUCAAGAAUUCGAGCUUGUUGAUGUGAUUUUUACUUGACUUUAUUUAUUGUUGAUAUUACUAUAUUUUAUGUACCUAAUGUGAUAAUUGUCAUUUAUUUACCGCUUUGAUAUUACUUGAACUAUAUUUAAAUGUCUUCUUAUGCCUCCCUUCUGAGUCUUCUAAAAAAUGGUGCACAGUUUCGCGUGGCCCACUUUUUCUAUUAGAAGUUAUACCAAAUAGAACGAGGCUGGGCCAGCAACAAGGCGGGGCAGACUUUCGUGCUCCUGGUACAUUGCCCCCUCUUCGGCUUGAGUUUGUUCGCUCGGGUAAGCCAGGUCUAGAACACAAGCCUAGGUUUACACUUAGAAUAACGUAACCUCAUGAUGGAUUGCUAGUAGGAAUGUUUAUUUGCAUCACGUGCAUUUGACCUUGGGACUCAACAUAGGGAUUGAGUCCGUCUAGGACAGGUGGACCCAAAACAACCGACCAUCCUGAUGCAUCCUACGUGCUAUAUAAAUAUUUAUUUGUUUCGACUUGCAUGUUGACUGGGUAGGAAAAGAAAAUCAAGAGAAAAACCAAGAGUGAGGUAGGAUAGAGAAUUNNNN